CCUACGGGUGGCUGCAGUAAGGAAUAUUGGUCAAUGGACGCAAGUCUGAACCAGCCAUGCCGCGUGGAGGAUGAAGGUCCUCUGGAUUGUCAACUUCUUUUAUUUGGGAAGAAACUCCCGAUUUCCAUCGGGAUUGACGGUACCAGAUGAAUAAGCACCGGCUAACUCCGUGCCAGCAGCCGCGGUAAUACGGAGGGUGCAAGCGUCACCCGGUUUCAAGGGUGCGUCAGGGGGCGGGUAAGUCAAUGUUGAAAUCUCCGGGCUUAACCCGGAAACUGCCAUUGAUACUAUUUGUCUUGAAUACUCUGGAGGUGAGCGGAAUAUGUCAUGUAGCGGUGAAAUGCUUAGAUAUGACAUAGAACACCCAUUGCGAAGGCAGCUCACUACGGAAAUAUUGACGCUGAGGCACGAAAGCGUGGGGAUCAAACAGGAUUAGAUACCCCUGUAGUC
rnacentral:rRNA from 1 species